rnacentral:lncRNA from 1 species
AGGAUUUCGUGCUUCUAAUUUGCUGCUAAAAAACUAAGAGCUUCCCAUAGGAUAUGAAGUUUACAGAACCUCCUGUGGAUGCACCCCAUGGUAUCGUAGAAUGGCUCCAUAUAAUUAGGUUAACCUGCACUAUCUGUAAUAAAGAUGGCAUUUCAAGCAAUGGAGAUGCUGAGCUGACCUGAUUACUGAUGCCUAUAUUCCUCUCUUGCAUUACCAUAGCUUGUAGGAGUUGGUUAUCUAG